rnacentral:lncRNA from 1 species
UCUUUAGUGGCUGGCACUCAUUCUCCCUUUCCUCUGGCUCCAGCUUAGUUCCUGAAGGAUUGAGCGCUGCUAUACUCCCAGUGGCUCCACGGUUCCUGUGUCCAUCCCUGCACUUCCAUCAGACUGACUACCUCGUCCUCCCAAGGGAACUGACUGGAGGUCCCCAGGAUCCUUUUCUGAACAAGUCACCACACCUUCACUUCUGUCCUUGCUCUUAGAUGAGCUGUUCUCUUUUUCCUUUUUGGAGCCAGCUACACUGCGUGAUGCCUUAGCAGCCUUCUCUGAGCCCUUGGGAGCAACAGCAGCAACCAGGCCUCCUGCAUUGGCUCCACUGCUCAAGGACAUCUUAGAGUCAACAUCCCACCUCAAGAUUGAUUCAAGGCUCUUCCUUGCCUCCAGCUUUCCUAUUUUGACCUUCAGCUACGUUCUCAGACCUGCCUCCUUGGUCAGAACAUGUCCAGUGGACAGUAUCAUUGCUAGAAACACCAGCAACCAAUGUGUACCAUUCAGGAGGUAUUUUAUGAUAAAGUCAAAAGUUUUGUUCUUGCAUAUUUCUCUGUGCACCACCUUUCUGUAUCGUGAGGCUGGUCCCUGGGAGUUGCCACCUCUGUCUGCCUAGGGCCCUGGGACCACAGAGCUGUUCCUCAUUAAUUCUUGAGCACAGGAUUUUGGAAUCAGUAUCUCCUGAUGGAAACUUGGUUUUGUGUUUGUUCUAAGGUGUCCUUGUGUUGUGGAAGGGUAAAAGAGACCAUUCCCAGAAUAGGUAUUUGUGUGUGGGCUGUUUUUAAGCUCGGUAGACACUGAAAACCAUUUCUAGCUACAAGUGUGAUAAUUUUCUAGAUAUGACUAGGGUAUAGAAAUAGCAUAGGAGGGAAGGAGAUGAAUUAUUAUUUAGGUUGGAGUAGGGUUAAUAACUUCCUGGAGAAAUGGGUAUCUGGGUUUUUGAAAGACAAAAAUCAAAUGCAGCAAUGUGAAGGAGCUAUAUGCCUCAUAGAAGCACAACAGGAGAAAGAUGGAGAAUGGUGUGCUUUGUUCAUGUAACUUAACUGUAAGCAAGCCUAUAUACUUUUGUAGGAUACCUUUGGCAGGAUGGUUUUGGUAGACUGCAGAGAAACAGGGAGAUUGGGCUAAUUCAUGGGGAGUCCUAGCCAAGGAAAGGUGAUAGAUUUGUUUCUUUUAAGAAAG